UUUUUUUUUGUUUUUGGUGUUUUUGAACUUUUUUUUUGUGUUUUUGGUAUUUUGAAGUUGUUUUUGGUAUUUUUGAGAUUGUUUUUGUUUGUGUAUUAUUGUAAUAUUGUAGUUUAAAAACUUGUUUCAAAAAAUGAUCAAUCCAAACAGACCAGUGAUUUUUAACUGGAUUUUUUUACAAUUCAGCAUGGGCGCAUCAAAAUUGAAUUCUGCAUGUACGAAGGUUCAGGAUUUGGCACGUGAUUUCCAAGCUUUAAAUUGAAAUUGCAAGAAUCAAAUGUUCCAUCGAAUGGAAGUGUUCUACUCCUACUAGGAUAUUAGUCAAUUUAUCUAUUAGAACUAUUAGCAAUUUUCUUUUUUAUGGAAUAGGAGAUAUUGACUUGUUGUCAAUUUUGAUUUCGCUUAGUAUUAGUAGUUUAGUAGGAGUAGGAAACAUAAUAGCAGGAGGCAUUAUCGUUCCUUUAAUCUUUUCUUUUCUCCGAGCGAGAGAAUUAGUAGUAGUACUAGUUUAGGAAAAGAAAAGAGCGUAAGGAUGAGGGACUCUUGACUUUCGUGAUUUUUGAGACUUUGUUCCGGUCCCAAGAAACUAAUAGUUUAGUUGGAAGCAAAGAACCGAACGAAGAGUUUUUCUCUGGGUCUCUUCUUUUGCUUUUCUAUUAUGGGAUGUUCAUGCAGCUUUUGUCAAUGAAAUUGCUUGGAUUAUUUCCAACGCUGAUCAGCUAGUUUUUCAUUUUAGUCAAGAAGUUAUGGAGAAUUUAGUUCAUCUAAAAUUAUGAGAUGGAAUUGAUUAUAUUUAUUUCCUUUAUUUUACUGAUAUUCGUAUGUUCUCUGAUUUAAUUUUUUUUAAGGUUAUUAUUUUAUUUAAAUAUCAGGGGCACCUGAUAUUUAAUUUAAUCUAAUAAUGUAAAACCAGUUAAAGCAGUUAAAUCCGUAAUUGUUUAAUUACUUUAAAUUAGUGGCGGCUGACAUGAUUGAAUUUGUAUCAGGAGAACAUAUGGGCUAAUUUAAAAUAACCCUCGUAGCGUGUUAUUUGGUUAGAAUAGGUUUUCUCUAAUUUUUAAGACAACUGGGGAAUUGAACUCUAAGAUCGUGCUUAAGAUUAUUUCUUGAUUAGAGCGACUAAUGGUCGUAUUUUGAUCACCGAUACAGUAAGGAAAAGUUGAUUGUCAUCGCAUGUUUGGCAGUUAUAAAUUAUUUAUCAGUGAGUAAAUGAAAUUAUCAUUGCAUCGAUGAUUAAUUGAGUGAACCAUCUCCGAAAUUAUUUCUUGGCUAGAGAUUAUUCAUUAUUGAUUUAAUUUUUCUAAAUUGUCAUUUAAUUUUAAUUUUAUUUUAUUUAUAUGAGUUGUUUAAUUAUCCUCAAUUAUAUAAAAAUCCCCUCCAUACUCUAAACUCUAGAAGAAAUGAAUUCUCCUAGUCCCUGUGGAUUUGACCCUACUUAUCACUAUAUACAAAAUGCAUAUUUUAUUUGUGCAGAUAUUUAUUAUUGCACAAGUUAGAUACUUAUCAAUUUUUGGCGUCGUUGCCGGGGAUUGGAGCCUGAUAAAUUUGUUUCUUUUUUUUGAGUUCAUCUUAUUUUCAUUUAUAUUUUUUUCUUAUUUCUGUUUUGCUAGUUUAUGGCUACUAAUAUUCAAUAUUUUGGUAAUAAACUGAAUUUUAUUCCUAUGAGGGGUAAUGAGACUCGUGUUUUUUCUAAUGAUCAAUAUUUAGAUUAACUAACCUCAUGUACAAAAUUUGGUUGUUGCAACUUGUGAAAUUUGUUAUGUCUCAGAUCAUCCAAUCGACAUAUGCCCCUUAUUUUAAAAUGACUUGAGUGCCCCAAUCAAUAUUUUUGAAAUUUUUCACCCUAAUCUCGAACAUGGUAUGACCCUUAUUCAAAUGCGUAUACUCAAGAAUGGUGGGAUAGCUCCAACUUUAAUUAUGCUAUAGAACCAAUCGAUUUUUAAUAUCAGUAUCAACAGUAAGAGUCUCAAGAACCAUCAUCCAUAUCAGGUAUGUCUCUUGAAGAAAUGAUGAAAUUACUAACUGCUAAUAUAUAUUGAUUUCAACAGGAGACACAAAUGAAAAUUAGAGGGACGGAGGAUGGAAUAUGUCAACAACUAUUAUCCACAUCAAGUAUGUCUCUUAAAGAAAUAAUUGAUCAUUUUCAACUGGAGAUACAAAUAAGAAUUAGAAGGAUGGAAGAUCAAAGGCAUCUAUUUGUAGCUACAAUGAGCUAAUUGAUUUCUCCAAUUUGUGAAGAAUUUCCCUCACAGACUAUUAUCGAUCUUGAGAAAGAUGAGAGUGCAAUUACCCUGACAUGUGACGAGAAGCUGCAAGAGUUCCAGGGAGAAGGAUCUUCAAAUGCAGUUGAAAAGGAAGUUGAGAAUGAAAAAAUAAAACUCCAACCUCUAAUCAUUGAAGUGAAUGAAUCUAGUGAGCAAAUCUCAAAUAUAGUGACACCUCCUCCAUUCAUUAGCCAACAUUACCCUAACUCUUAUUCUAUAAUUUCUGCUAGUGCAAUUGAUGUUAUUAUACCAGAAAUUUUUGAGUCUUAUGACAGGAAUAAGUUAGGAGUUGUUAUGGCCAAAUAUCUUGAAUCGCUACGUACUCGUGAUGGAGGAGCGAGUGAAGAAUUAAGUCACUAUUUAACUAUUUGACGUCAUCUACUAGUCAAUGGAAGAAAGCAAUUCGUGUGCUUAAGGAUCCCUCUAUUUACGAGAGUUAUCAGAGUUAUAUAAAGAAUGAAACACUAAAAUGAGUUACACGAUUUUAUCCUCUAUGAAUAAAUAUGGUAAUGUCUAACAAAAGACAUUAAAGAAAGACGCUGCUUGGGAGGCAACUCAAGAAUUUUUAAUUUUAGUCAUUUCAUGUGUCUUGCUUAAUUCUUAGGUGCAAUUUAAGUGAUUGUGUUUCUUUGUAUCAGCAAGCAAUUAACUGGAAGACGUGCUCAAUUCAGAAUUGACUGUUGAAUAUUCCUAUGUCUAACACAAUUUUUCAGGAGACUCUUCAUGAUUUUGGUGUGGCUACGCUUUCUAGUCACGUGCUAAGAAAAAAAUUUCACUAUACAAUGUCAAAAAACUCCCAAUCUUUAUGACGUGCCCGCGUCUUCUGGUAACGUAUUAGGAAGAAAUUUUCCAAAUUCAUGAUCAGAAGACUCUUCCACUUUUUGACGUGCUUGUUUCAUGUUUCAGUGAGAAGGGUAAAAAAAAAAUAGAGAGAGAGAGAGAGAGAGAGGAUUUUUCUUUUUCCUUUUCCUUUCCUUUUCUUUUCCCAUUUUUUUCUCUCUUUUUUUAUCUUUUUCUUUUUCUUUCUUUCUCCCUUCUUUCUUUCCUUUCUUUUUCUUUCUUUCUUCUUUCUUUCUUUCUUUACUCUUCUUCGUCGCACAAGCUCUAUAUUUUCAAGAUGAUGCAGAAUCUGGCAGCAUUCUUUCAUCACGUAGGAUUCAACCCACCUUUUGCUCCUAAUUCGUCGCCAUUUGUUAUCUCCUUCACGUUUAGGGAAGUUUCGUUGUCCCUUUUACUUCAUAUUUUGUUCUUUAUUUCUUAUAUUGGGGACAAUGUAAAAUUUAGGUGUGGGGGAGUAGUAUAUUAGAAGAGUACAAAUAUAGGUAUUUUUGUUUUAAAUUUUUUGUUCAAUUUUUUUCAAAUUUUAUCCAAUUUUUAUCUAUUGUGCAUAUUUGUGGUUAUCCCUAAUAAAAGAUAGUUAGAUGUAUCAAAAUUUUCUAUUACUAAGAUUUUAUACUCUAAGGUGUCAAGUAUGAUGUGAUAAGGUCUAAGGGUUUCUCUUUAGUGAAUAGUUGAGAUUUUGUGAUAUUUGCAAUUUUUGGUUAACUUUUCUAUGUAUUGUAAAUAUUUGUCUAGCAUUUUUCGUGUAGAUUGAUUUAAUUAUUAAUCUUAGUUCUCUAUGUUUAGGAAAUGAAGUGGGCUUGUGUGGUCUUUAAUUUUAAUUUGGUACUUAUUUAUGAAUAGUAUUUGGUUAUACUCCACUGGUUAUUGUUGCCCAGUAACCGGGAAUUUUCAUCAAAAGUGUCGACUUUUGUAUCAAAAAGUGGCGAUAGUUAUGAGUAUGUGAUUUUUAAACAAUGAAAGUUAAGUAACCAGACUCCUUUAUUUAGUAAAUAUUGGACUUCGCGUCAAAAGAUUUAAAUGGCUAAGGACUAAGCAUUUCUCCUAGAAAAAAAUUAAGAAAAAAAAAAAGAAGUUUAAGUAUGGGAAACAUCUUUAAACAAAAAAAAAAGUGUAUAUGAAUAUGAAAGUGUAUGAAUAAGUUGCUGGCCCGCUGAUCCAUGGAUUGUAAUGUUGAGAUUUUGAUUAAUAAUCGAACCAUUUGCUGACGGAUGCUAGUUGAAUAUUUUAUAUUCUUAAAUUAAUUAGUUGGGAAUUGGGAGAGUCCAUAGUUUUAAAAGCUAACUGGAGAGGUAUUUCUUAGAAAUUAGCCAUUAAUGCUUGACAUGUUUUUCAUUUUAAUUAUACCUUGACAAUAAAUGAUUUGAGUAAUAGCCAUUGUUUGAAUUCAAUGACUUAGUAGUGCGUUAUUAGUCGUUUUCAUGCUUGAGAAUAAGCAUGGUUUAAGUGUCGGGGAAAUUGAUAAGUUGCAUUUUUAUCAUUAAAUUUAUGAUUAUUUUUCCCUUCAUUUUAUUUAUAUAUUGUAUUAAUUGAUAGAUUCUACUUAUAUUUGGUAAUUAUGUUGAUUGUAGGGAUCCCAAACGAAAAGGACUCAAGAACGUGAAUUUUAAUUAGAUUUUUGUGCAAUUCGGCGUGGGCGCAUCAAAAUAUAAUUCUACAUGUACGAAGGUUCGGGAUUUGGCACGUGAUUUCUAUGUUUUGAAUUGAAAUUACAAGAAUCAGAUGACACCAAAUGGAAGUCUUCUACUUCUACUAGGAUAUUACUCAAUUUAUCUAUUAGAACUAUUAGGACUUUUCCUUUUUAUGGAAUAGGAGAUAUUGACUUGUUGUCAAUUUUGAUUUCGCUUAGUAUUAGUAGUUUAGUAGGAGUAGGAAACACAAUAGCAGGAGGCAUUAUCGUUCCUUUAAUCUUUUCUUUUCUCCGAGCGAGAGAAUUAGUAGUAGUACUUGUUUAGGAAAAGAAAAGAAACGUAAGGAUGAGGGACUCUUGACUUUCGUGAUUUUUAAGACUUUGUUCCGGUCCCAAGAAACUAGUAGUUUAGUUGGAAGCAAAGAACCGAACGAAGAGUUUUUCUCUUCGUCUCUUCUUUUGCUUUUCUAUUAUCGGAUGUUCAUGCAGCUUUUGUCAAUGAAAUUCCUUGGAUUAUUUCCAACGAUGAUCAGCUAGUUUUUCAUUUUAGUCAAGAAGCAUUAGAGAAUUUGGUUCAUCUAAAAUUGUGAGAUCGAAUUAAUUAUAUUUUUUUCCUUUAUUUUACUAGUAUUUAUAUGUUCUCUAAUUUAAUUUUUUAGGGUUAUUAUUUUAUUAGUAUAUCAAGGGCGCCCGAUAUUUAAUUUAAUAUAAGAACUUAAAAUCAGUUAGAGCAGUUAAAUCCGUAAUUGUUUAAUUGUUUUAAAUUAUUGGUGACUGGUAUGAUUGAAUUUGUGUCAAAGGAACAUAUGGACUAAUUAAAAUAACCCUCGUAGCAUGUUAGUUGGUUAGAACAGGGCUUCUCUAAUUUUUAAGGCAAUUGAGGAAUUGAACUCUAAGAUCGUACCUAGGGUUAUUUCUUAAUUAGGGAAGUGAUUAAUGGUCGUACCUUGAUCAGCGAUACAGUAAGGAGAAAUUGAUUAUUAUCGAAUGUUUGCCAGUUAUAAAUUGUUAAUCAGUAAGUAAAUGAAAUUAUCAUUGCAUCGAUCAUCAAUGGAGUGAACAAUUUUCGAAGUUAUUUCUUGGCUAGACAUUAUUCAUUAUUGAAUUAAUUUAGCUAAAUUGUCAUUUAAUUUUUAUUUUAUUCUAUUUAUCCGAGUUGUUUAAUUAUCCUCAAUUAUAUAAAAAUCCCCUCCAUACUCCGAACUCUAAAAGAAAUGAAUUUUUCUAGUCCCUGUGGAUUCGACCUUACUUACUAUUGUAUACAAAAUCUAUAUUUUCUUUGAGCAUGUAUUUAUUAUUACACAGGCUCGACACCUGUCAAAUUCAAAGUGAUUCUGGCAGAAUUUUGCAAGGGAAAUUAUUGGUCAUAAUGGUGAUGAACUUGGUUCAAGAAAGAGCAUGAUUUAAGGGAGGCAGUGUUCACAUAUUAAAUCAAGACCCAAAAUUAGAAAUUUUCAUAUUAUUAUUUAGUAGUGUUUUAGUCAGGUUAGGAUUUUAGCAACUCUAUUUUGUUCAAGUUAUGGUAGUUUUAUUAUUUAGGAAUUAGUUUGUUAUGAGGAAAUUUCUUGUGGUGUAAGACUUAUUUAUCAAGUCAUCUAGUCUAUAAAUAGGGAAUAAUAUUAUUAUAUAGUUGAGAGGAGUGAAAUUUGAGAGAUUUGUUAUAGUGUGUGAUUAAUAUAAUAUUGUUGAUAUUUAUUCCUUUUCUCCCAUACAUACUUGUAUAUGUGUAAAUUGCCUCGCCAAAUAGAUUGAUUUUAUGAAAUGUAUCUCCUAUAUAAUGUUUUGGUCAAUUUUUGGGUUCUACAUUGUUGGGUGAAAGAGUGAAAUUCAAAGCAGAAAGAAUUUGUUGAUUGUUAUCUGAAAAGUAUAGAUCCAAAAUCCAAAAAUAUCAAAAUUAAGUUCUUUAUGUCUUGAAUUAUAAUGGAAAGUGGUCAAACCUUUGAAAACAUCUAUAUCAUGAACGAAGUGCAGCACUAAUUGACAGGUUGUAGAAACUUGUGCAAUAAAAAAAUUAAAUCUAAUUGCCAAAUAAAGUAACCACAACCCAAUUUCAAGUACUGGAAUAGGGACUCUAGAUGUGCAAUGGGUUACUUGAUUCACCCUAUUCCCGAAGAGUUUCCUUGAUCCGAUAUACCUAUAUGGGAUGACUUUUCGCAAAUAAUUAUUAAUUUGUAAACAGAGCAAGUAAGGUCAUAUCCUCAGGGAUUGGGGAUAUUUGUCUCUUUCGAAAUCCAAAGUAACACGGGGGUGUUUUUAUGUAUACGAUGACAAUCAAAGAAAUUCAAAUAAAAAUAAAUAUCUAACUAGAAAUUAAAUGACAAUACGCUGAAAUUGGAUUAAUAAUAAUUAAAGGUCUAGCCAAGAAAUAACUUCAGCAAUGGUUCACCUAAUUGAUCAUCGAUGCACAAGUAAUUCAAAUUAUUUAUUAAUAAAUAGGUUAUAACUGCCAAACAAGCGAUAACAGUCAACCCCUCCUUACUGUGUCGGUGAUUAAGGUACGCCGUUUAAUCACUGCUCUAAUUGAGAAAUAAUUCUAGGUACGCCCAUAAGAUUUAAUUCCACAAUUGCCUUACAUAUUAGAGUAGCUCUAUUCUAACCAAAUAACGCACUACCAAAAUUAUUUCAGAUUAACCCACGUAUCCCCCUGAUACAAACCUAAGCUGUCACUAAUUCAAGGCAAUUAAAUAAUUACAGGUUUAAUGCCCUAAUUGACAAUAGAUUAUCAAGUUAACUAAUUAUCUGGAUCCAAGAUAAUCAAUUAAUUAAAUAAUCAUAAGUACUGCAAUCAAGAAAUAUGCGAAUACCAAUAAAUAAAAGAAAAAGAUAAAAUUAAAUCGAUCUCACAAUUUUUAGGCGAACCAAAGCAUCCGUUGCUCCUUGACUAGACAAAGGAGAUUUAGUUCAUCCCGGAUGCUAAAAACCCACGCGAAAUUGAAUCAAUAGUGGCGACCAUUGUGCUCGCUCGCGGCAAUUCAAUCCGAUUGAAUGAAGAAGGAAAAGUAAGCUACAAUGAAAAGUUCAUUUGUUUCUGAUUGUCACCAGUGAAAAGUCAAACAGAGGAGCUAAAGAGAAUGAUUCAAUGUUCUUCUCAUAGCCUCUGGCCUACAAUAAUUAAAGCUAAGCAAAAGCUCACAAAAGGAAAGUCAAAGAGCAAAAGCUCUCCAAAAGAUAGUGCUCAUUCUCUGCCCCUAAUUUCUGUCUAAGUCCUACUACCCUCUUCCUGUGCGGUGGCUCCCCAGCGAGAAUAGAAGACCUCAGCCGUCCUCGCCUUUACAGCAAUUACCAAAAAUGGGCAUAAGCUUUCCUUUUCCAAAAAUGUCCCCUGGGAUAAUCUCUGUUGCUUGGGCUUCUUUCUUGUCAAAUUGGCACUUGUUAUCAUAUUUUCGUUCUACUCCCUGAAAUAAAUGCAAAAUAUUAAAAGUGAGUAGAAUUUAAUAAUUAAUCCACAGCAAAUCAGGUAAUAAGGAAAAUUAAUAAUAAAAUAAAUGAUUAAAUUGCAUCCUAUCAAUUCCCCCCACACCUAAACUAUGCUUGUCCCCAAAUAUAAGAACAGUAAACAAACAACAAUAUUUGACAAUGGCAGUUGCUCUAUCUACCAUAUUGCCAAGAUACCAAGAGAAACCCAUAUAUCAAGUAUCAGUGAUCAAAAUUCGAGAAACAUCACUCCGGUUAGCUUCUAAACCACAAACUCAUUCAAUUCCAACUUAACUAAUUUAAGAAAAAGGAAUGGAGCACAACAUUUAUCAGCAAAUGGUCCAAAUAUUAACCAAAAUCUCCACAUUAAAUCCAUAAAUUGGCAAACUGACUUUUAUCACAUACUAACACAACCUACACUUUUUUUUUCCACGUUUUCUAUAUUUUUUUUCUUUUUUUUUAGAUAGCACAAAAAACUUAGUCUCUAACCAUUGGAGCCUUUUGAUGCGAAUUCUAACAUUUUCAGAUGAAGGAGCCUAUUACUCAGUUCCUAUCGCUAUACGACUACAUACUCAUAGAAAUUACUACUUUUUGAUGCGAGAAUCGAUACUUUUGGUGAAGAUCCCCGGUUACUCAGUAGUAACAACUAGCGGAGUACAAUCAACUCUUAUUUAUAGCCACAUGGAACAAUAACGCAAAAUAACACUGCUAAAAAUAAAAAUAGGAGCAGCUAGCCUCAUUAUUGCCAAACAUGAAGAAUUAGAGCCAAUAUUGGACCAAUUCACAUGAAAAUGCCAACAGUCAUUCCCUUUACCUAGAAAAGUUAACAAAGAAAUCAAGAGAGUCAAGCAGUCAUCGAUAUUCACCAAAGAGACAUUUUGAACUCAACCGCAUUAACUCGAUACACUUUUAUUAUUAAAACUCGGCAAGAGUAGAUUUAGAGUCAACAAUCCAACAUCAAACUUUGACAUUCACAUGAGAGCUCAUAACUACAAAGAAAGAAAAUGGCUGAAUGAAAAAAAACAAAUAACAAACUAAAAAUAAAGGAAAAACGACUAAAAACUAAAAAUUAGAAAAAUUGGCACCCCAACUAAACCCCCCCACACCUAAACGGUACAUUACCCUCAAUAUAGCAAAUAAACAUCAAAAGUAUGAGAGAGGGUAACAAAACUUCCCUGAAGUAGGGUCAAAGUGGUGGGCGAUACCCAAAUUGCGAUGUAUGACCCGCAUGCUGCAUGAAUGCUGCUAAAUUCUGUGCCAUGUAAUGCACGUUGUGAUCAAUAUUGAUCAUUCGAGCCUCCAGAUUCUGAACUUGAAUCCGAAGUUGAUUCCAUUCAGCAGCUCCUGGGGGUGGUGGGGGCAGAGCGGAGGUAGACGAGCCUGCAUCAUCGCCAGCAGGGGCCGAAUUGGUAAAAGAAGAGUGAGGUGAGGCGCUGGGCGGUCCCGAGGGAGUAAAUCGGUAGGCACCAUUGACAUGCUCCAGAACUCCCAUCCUCUCUAAGCGUUCAACAUUCACAAAUUCCAUGUCGCAGGCCAAAUGAAGGUCGUGAUCCUGUAGAAUGAGAACUCCUAGCUGGACUGCCAGGCGGGUGAUGUAGGACUCGAGGAUCAGGGGUAUGUUCUUCUUUGCCAAAACGGUCUUGAACUGUGCAGUCAACCAACACCCCAAAUUGACUUUGAAACCGGUUUUCAUGCACCAGAGAAAGAAGAGCUUCGGUCGAGAGAUUAUACUGGAGCUAUCCUUUCUACCCGAGUAACUGUAUGCUAAGAGUCGUUGAACAUACCGAACACUCGGGUCCUCGAGAAAAGAGCUCCUAGAUCUAGACGGGUCAUACCGCUGCCUGUCGACGAAUAUGUCCCACCACACAUCAUGGUAGGGGGAAAGAAAUGGCUCUACAUAAUCACAGGCACUCUCGGCAUAUUCCCUAGUCACCGCAUACUCCCGAGUGAUAAAACCGAAUGCCAAAUUAAACUGGGUAAUAGAGAAAUUGAAUUCCUUACCCAUGAGACGGAAACGAAUGACAUUGGGAGUCUCAACAGUAUACCUCGUAGGUAAUUCAAACUCAAAGAUGGAAUAAAACUCCCUAGUCAACUCAACAAAGGCGGGUUGGAAAACAGCGAGAUAGGGGCGCCAUCCAAUGGCGGUGUACAUGCGCUCAACCUCCUCCUGGAUACCCAAAAAAAGCCAUAGUCAACUCGUCCGAGCACUUGAACGGAAUGAUACGCCGCUCACAGGCUUUAGCAUAGCGCCGCUCACAGGCCACGUGGGCACCCCUACCCCUGCCUAACCGGGUUCGGACACCGGAAACGGAAGGUUGGUUGAUAAGGGUAUUGACUGGAAUGGAGGGUUGGGGUGGUAGCUGAGACUAAGAGGUUCUAGACCUAGAAGAGGAUUUGGGUCGCACCAUAGCUCCUAACUGUCAACUCAAUCAACCAGAGAUAGAAGCGCCAACAAUAGUCUCAGUAAAUGCAAUUAGCAAAAGAAACUCAGCAAAAGCAAAGCAACAGUCUCCAAGUAGCAACCCAAUCAAUAGCCAAUAGAAGAAUUCCAGCAAGCGCCCCCAGUCCACUGGGGUCAAUAACCAACACAAGAAACAAAGAAGUCCGAAAACGGGGCGACGACUUGCACAAUGGAUUAGACCAAAAUCACAUACAAUGUCCCUCCGAAUCAGCAAUUUAAGUCGUCAGCUAGAAUGUCCCCAACAAUGCAAUUAAAUAUGACAAACCUCACAAAGUAAAUCAAGCGGCACAGGGUUCCUAAGUCAACAGGCAACAACAGCUCCCAAAUUUAACAAUAAAAAACAAACAAGGUUCAACCAGAAUCCCAACAGAUAGUCCCAAUUGGACAGUUAAUCGCACAAUUUCAACCAACCCAAAAGAAGCAUCAAAUUUAAGUGAAAAUACUCCAACCAGUACCACUGGAGGAAAUCACACAAUUGAGGAAAUAACCUCUAAUAGUCAACAACACCAACUAUUGAGCAAUCUAGGCAGCACCAAUCAAUAUUAAGAAAUUGAGGGACAACUUCCAAAUACCUCCACUGUAGAGGGUAGCCAAACGAAAUGGGACAGUAGCGGGUGUCAGUUAGGCCGGAGUCGCAUGAGGGGUUGCGGUGGUGUCAAUGAAGACAGCGGUGGUCAAAGGUGGAGUAGGAGCGAGCGACGCACAGCGAAGUGGUGGCACGCGAGCGCAAAUCAGUGGCUAGCGUCGGCGUCGCUUGAAGGGUCGGACGAUGGUGGGCUUAGUCGCGCGGUGAGAUGGGGAGCUGAGAGGGCUCUUGGUGGCGUGCGAUGAGGUUGGGGAACGGAGGGGGUUGGCGGCGUUGGUCGCUCGGCCGUGGCAGUCGCGAGAGCUGGUGAGAGAGGCGCGGCGCUGACGGCAGAGGAGAUGGGUGACGCGCCGAGUGGGUCGAGCAGAGAGAGACCGGUACAGAGACUGCGAUGGUGAGAGAGCUGGUGGCCUGCGGCUUGUGGCUUUGUGGCCGAGAGGGACGGCGGCAGUCCUCUGCUUGGGCGCGAGAUGCGGCGUGUGGAGGCGCAAGGAGGGAGAAGAGGUGGCGCCCGCAGAUCGGAGCUCUGGCGUGCGGCUAUGCUGGUGCGGGCAAGCUAGCGGCACGCUGGCUGGAGUGGAAACUUUCGGAGAUGGAGGGAGAUAGCGGCGUUGUGAGGUCUUCGGGUGACACAGAGGAGAAUAGGGGAAAAGAAAGAAAGAAGAAAGCGAGGAAAAGAGAGAAAAGAAAGAAAGAGAAGGA
rnacentral:lncRNA from 1 species